UUGUAACUGUAACCUGGCAACAAAUGUUUGUGACUUUUGUGCUUAUAAACCCGCUUUUCCCCCUGCUCAGGGCUGUCGGAGAAACAAGACUCCUGUUUAUGUGAUGAAUUAUUCAAAUCUUUGGAACCCAUGCAACGUGACCCCAGCCUCACCCUCCCGCUGCCGUGUCUCCCCACUGUGAUGGACUGUGUGCCCUUGAGCUGUGGGCUAAGACAAACCCUUUCUUCCUGAGCUGCCUUCAUCACAGCCACGAGAAAAGCGGCUGCUACAGAGACUGCCUCAUACUUCCUAGUCUCUGCACUAGAUCACCCCACUCCACCACACCGGCAGGCUGGAACAUAGCUCUUUCUGGAGCAGCCAGCCUUUGGGCUUGAACUUGGCUCUCCUGGGGCUCCGGUUUGACAACACAGCCUGCAGAUUUUGUUUAUCAGCCUCCAUAAUUUCAUGAUCUAAUUCCUUACAAUAAAUCUUCACACACACACACACACACACACACACACACACACACACACACACACACACACACACACCUUUCUAUUGACCUUUCCCCUUUGCAUAAUAGACUAAUACAGAAAGAACAAGAAAUCACGCAUCUGUUCCAGAAUGAAGGCAACAGCCCUUUACACACAUCUGGAGGUAGUAAAGAGUCCUGGGCUAGAUAGAUAUGUUGUCUUUUUUCCUUCUGCAGCUGUGUGUUAAGGUUUGUGUCUUCUUCUGUAAUAGAUGAGAUGCUAUGUGAGAGACACAGACAGGCAGAUUUUGUGUCUUUUCAUCUCCUCCAAAUUUAUUGACUAACAACAAUUUUACAAGUUACAACAAUUUUAUUGACUAUAACUCACCAGAGAAUUCUGAUUUCACUGAUAGUAUGACCACUGGCAAUCACAGGUUCUUUUAUUCCAAACUUAAUUGUUAAUAUUAGCUUGCAGGCCACAUACUAAACUUCACACAGCAAUAUAUAGACAGCUACAAAGAGUUAAGGCUCCUUCAUGACCUGGAGUUCCCAGGAGCCUUAGAGAAAGCAGAGGCAGCGGCUGAUGCACACUGUGGAAUCACUGCAGGUGGUUAGUCCAGAGCUGGAAAGAGGUCUGCUCACGAGCCUACCUGGAACCAUGAAGAGAAAGUCUGCUGGACCACCGGAAGUCCAUGUCUCCAUUUGUCUUAUUAUCACCGCAUCCCUCAGAUCACUCUCCCAUUUUGU